rnacentral:rRNA from 1 species
GACGUAGGGGGCGAGCGUUGUCCGGAUUCAUUGGGCGUAAAGGGCUCCUCGGUGGUUCAGUAAGUCGACUGUGAAAAUCCAAGGCUCAACCUUGGGACGCCAGUCGAUACUGCUGUGACUCGAGUUCGGUAGAGGAGUGUGGAAUUCCUGGUGUAGCGGUGAAAUGCGCAGAUAUCAGGAGGAACACCAACGGCGAAGGCAGCACUCUGGGCCGAUACUGACACUGAAGAGCGAAAGCGUGGGGAGCAAACAGG